rnacentral:lncRNA from 1 species
UGGUAACAGUGGAGAUUAGAGUCCAGAGCACACAGCUGGGGAGACAGACCCAAGAAGGAACCUGACAUGGUGACCCAGACAGAGCCAGGAGAGAAGCCAUGAGCUUGGCUCACACAGAUUCUGACUGUGAGAAGAGGAAAGAGAUGGAAGGCAACUUUAAGAACAGGAAACAAACUCACACAUCCAGAGGAAGUGCAUAGGUCGGGGCAACGAAGAGCCUGAAAUCACAUAGAUGGCAAGACAAGAGUCGAUCCUAACAAAACCAAGGAAUAUGGCCAUGAUGGAAUGACAAAAGUCCAGAUAUAUUCUCCCAUCAUAAACAAAAAGAAAACUGGGCAAAAAUGACAUAACAAUUGUUUUCAGAUGUUGGACAACAGAUAGUGCAAUACUUUGAUUCCUAAGAAAAGGGGGAAAAGUGAGGUAAGCCCUUGGCCUUCUGCCUGGGAUCUCAUUCUGUACCCCAUGGCAGGUUGAGGAAUCCUCAGCAGAGCUCAGCAGUCUCACUAAGUUGAGGACAGAGAUUUAGUUCAGGGAGGCUGAAGUGACUCAAAAUUGUGGAGCAGAGUUUCAGAGAGGAGAGCUGCAUAGAAAAAACACUUCAGAGUCUUUACUGAAUAUUAGGUCAUGCAUGCCUAGGGCAAAACUCCAUGAGGCCAGGCAAUGAAUGGGGAGCUGGAGACUGAAUAAUCCCCAAAAAUCACAGCAGUGAGAGACAUGUAAACUCCAACCAGCAGGAGCGGAACGUCCUCACGGAUCACCUGGACCUUCAGUAGAGACCACAGAAGUGUCAUAACUUGGUGGUGGGAUUAUCCCUAGAGUCAUUGCUUCUCUAGACUUGCCCUAAAAAUCUUCAAAACAAGCCUUGGGAGGAUCAAACCGAUCAACAAGU